UGGGGAAUUUUGCACAAUGGGGGAAACCCUGAUGCAGCGACGCCGCGUGAUUUAGAAGGCCUUCGGGUUGUAAAAAUCUUUUGUAUGGGAAGAAAAUGACAGUACCAUACGAAUAAGGACCGGCUAACUACGUGCCAGCAGCCGCGGUAAUACGUAAGGUCCGAGCGUUGUCCGGAAUCAUUGGGCGUAAAGGGUACGUAGGCGGAUAAGCAAGUUAGAAGUGAAAUCCUAUAGCUCAACUAUAGUAAGCUUUUAAAACUGCUCAUCUUGAGGUAUGGAAGGGAAAGUGGAAUUCCUAGUGUAGCGGUGAAAUGCGCAGAUAUUAGGAGGAAUACCGGUGGCGAAGGCGACUUUCUGGCCAUAUACUGACGCUGAGGUACGAAAGCGUGGGUAGCAAACAGG
rnacentral:rRNA from 1 species